GACCACCCAAUUAAUUUCAUGCCACAUCUCAUCUUACACACUCGGAAUUUUCAACGAUCCUUAUGUGAACAAAUCAUACAUCUAAAUCACGUUGAGUUGGAUUGAGUGGAUCUAGUUCACUUGAACAGCAGAAAUUAAGUCAUACCUUAUUACACAUACAGUACGUUGCAUGUGAAAAUUAACAAUUAAGACUUAAACAACCUUACCUCUGCGAAAACUGCCCAGAGGAUUAGCGGACAAAAAGAAGCAAAAACAAAAAAACAAAAAAACAAAACACACGUAGUUGACUGUAACUCCUUUUGUGUUUCUCUUAAUUUGGAUUGCCUGAAUAAAACCCAAAACAAAAUAAAUAAUAAAUACUGCUCACCCAUGUUUUCAGGAUUCACAGUUAUCAUGACAUCAUCACUUUGAUCACAAUGUCAUUCUCACCCUAGAGACGGUAAGCUUCCUUGUUUCGUAAUGAUAGAAAUUAAAAAAUUAAACUCAAACUCAAACAAACUGGAGGCGGUGUUCAGCAAUGGAGAUGAAUGAGGCACUGAGAGAGGCAACUCUCGGAUGGUAAAAAGAAAAAAGGAUCAUUUGUUGCAGAGUUAAUUAUCUCACAUCGAAUAUUUCCUUAUGUACGUGCGCCACAUGAAGACCAGAUGCUGAUCCUCCACAUUGCAGGCACCCAGUACAACAGCGUUAGCUGUUCAUUUGCAAAGGGGAAUGGGAGGAGCAGGUUCUUGCCACUCCACCUCACCAUUCGCAGUAGCAAAAAAGUUCGUUUUUAACUGACAUGUGUUGACAGUAAUGCUUACAUGUCGACAUUCUUUUGCGCGUUGAACGAUGAAAUUAAAAUCUAGAAUAAUAGUGUAUUAUCGAGAAGGCCGAUGGAUUCCCACUUCUACUAACCCUUGUGCAGCAGUAAAAUCGUGGCCCAGCUCACAUAUGCAACUGCAUUUUCUUUCGCAUUUCUUUCUUCUUCUUCUUCUUCUUCUUGCCUUCAGGUUGUUGACAGUAAAGCUGAAGUAAGUAAUCUAAAGAAACUGCUCUUAUUGCUGCCCUGAGUGAUGGAAGCAGCAACGUGAGACUGCAGUGGUGAUAGCUGCCGUCGCGCAACAACCAUUCGCACGAGCGUGCUCAGGCCUUAAAGCUCAUGUCGCAACUAGUGAAGGGCAGAGACUUCCAGUUUCAGAACGCCGUUUCAGGAUCGCAGGGUCCAGUAGGACCACCGUCACAGAGAUUACAGUGUCUCCGCAACUCUGGCCUUUCAACCGAGCGCAGCGGCAGAGGAAGAAAGAAAUAGAAAAGAAGAGCGAUGCAACCGCAGAGCCAUUAUACACCCACAAGAACAGCGUUGACAACAUGCAAAGGCAGACUCUCAUGCUCCAUGAUCAGCUACAGAUCAUCGUCGUCCGCAUCAGGUUGGGUUUCCAUAUUCCAGGUGAGACAAACCUGACACCUACAGGAACGAUCCGCUGAGGGGAAAAUAUCCGCAAGUGAUAAGCACCAAUGGCUUCCUUAAAGCUUGGCAUCCGAAUCCGACCCACGAUUGGCUAACUCCGGUGUCAGGGUCGUUCGAGAAGCUCAGCUCUGCAGCCCAACACUGCACAAUGACUGAAUCUACGGCCACAUCCCGCGACUGAGCUCAAGGGCAGGGUUGCAGGGAUAUAGUCCUCUCCAGAUCGCGAGGGACCCUCGAUUAGCAAGGCAGUGGCACCUAGAAGCCGCGAGCUGAUGUCCGGAUCACCCACCUCCGUUUUUAGAUAUCUCCUGUUAUUUAUUAUUUGUGCGUUUUCGACGCCCGAGCAAUGCCAGAUGCCCUGGUUGGAUGCGAAUCUCUCUCAUUGUUUUCUAUUUUUAGCCUCGAUGUGUCUGGGUAGAAACUUUGCUACCCACCAUCAUUUCUAUCCAAUUCUUCCUCCAUCAGCUGAAGAUUUGUUGUUGUCUGGCAGAUUUGCCUCAGGGAUUUCUAAAAUUAGAAACAAUAAUAUCCUGAAAACUUCUGAAGUUGGACCAGGCUACAUGUGUGCGUUCUACAUUCACCGGAACUGUUUACAUCCUUGAUUCACGUUUACGCAUGGUGGCUGCAGAUUCGAAGCCUAUAUUGGACCAAGUGUCGGGUUGUCGACCGUCGUGCAUGUGGUGGUGUGCUGCCGUGCAAGCAUGUAGCGGCCAUUCAUAGUUCCAGAGGAGCGGAACAUUCGUGAUGUGGAUUUGGGAGUGGGGGACUCUCUCAUUCUCGAUCUCUCUCCCAUUUGACGUACAAAAGGAUUCCUGGUCCUUUUCUUCGUUGGACCAUGGGAAUCCGGGUCGCCCAGCGACGCGGUCCCGCAACUGAGGGAGGGACAGGAGGCGAUCCGGAUAGUCACCUUCGAGGAGGGACCCCAUCGAACCAGGUGCUGCGGAUUGCUCCACCCAAACUAGACAGGGAAUCAUUCCCUUUUCCUGCACCCCGAAGGUUCCUCCAGCGACUGUGUUGUGCCUCCCGGAUAAGCUUCGGCGUAUACCAACAAAACCACAAAGAGCACAGCGUUGCUCAGCACAGGCUCCUCCUCCUGUUUCGAGGCCCUUUUAAGUUCAAGAAGUGUGGGGCCCGUUUGUUGCAUUUGCUGCAGAUGCCAUCCCUUGCAUGCAUUUUUCAUGUGAAUUCUUCGUCUUCUCAUUCGAGGACAAGGGCACCACAUGAGCAUGCGAAUAUCGUGGAACCAAUCAAAUAAGCGGAAUGGAACGUUUCAUUGUGAUUUCUGUUCACGUUUUUAUUUUAUUUUGCUUUUGUUUUUAUCCAAGAGAUUUUUAUAUACUUGUUGACUGGUUGUGUGUACACUCAAAAUAUUUAAUUGGGAUUCCAAUUUGCACAUGUUCAA